GUGGGUAUUAGUCAAGUAGGCAAACUAAUGAGAAAUCCCUUUAGAUGGCACUCAAUUGUAUGGCAGAGGAGGCUUAUGCCUUUCUGGCAUUCUCAGUCAUUGACACUCUUGCAGGCAGUGACACUUUGACAGACUGACAUUAAAGGGACUCUCCAGUGCCAGGAAAACUGCAGGACCCUGUAGUGUCGGCUAGAGUGCUUGGAAUCCUCAAGAAGCGCUAGGAGCAUCC